rnacentral:rRNA from 1 species
CUCUGUAUGAGUUUAAUUUUGGCUCUGAUUGAACGUUUUUCAGUAGUUUUAAGACAUGCGAAUCUUUGUUUUGGUAUCUAACAAGCAGGGAAGGUGACUAAUAUUGAGUUACUAAUAUAAGAAACCUUUUUGGGCCGAAGGGCAAGAUAAAUAAUCUUAGCGAAUUAGAGAAUAGAACAAGGUGUAAAGGUGAGUAAUGAUAAAUUAGAUACUUUAUAGACCUCUCGAAUAGGGGAUAGUUUAAUAAGUUUUUCCGCCGAAUGGUAGGUUAACUAUAAGUUAAGCAUAAAUUAGCUUAUUUAUAAGAAAGGAAAGCUUAAAAUUAUAAUUUUGUUAUUUAACAAUACGAGUAUAAAUUAGAGCAAGCCGCUAUAAGAAUCGAUUUAUUUUGUUUAAUGGUAGUUGGUGGGGUAAAUGCCUACCAAGCCUACGAUCAAUAGCCAAGUUUGAUAGAACAGAUGGCCACAUUGGGAAUGAAAAGCCCCAAGUAGAGUAAUCUACCAGCAGUCAAGAAUAUUAGUCAAUGCUCGCAAGAGUGAACUAGCUAACUGAAAUCUUAAGAUCAUUUAACCAUGGUACUUGAGAUAACGUAAGGGAAAAAAAUGAUAGUACCUUACUAUAAGUGUUGUCCAACAUUACUGGUGCCAGAAGACUCGGUAACGCCAGAAACGCAAACGUUAGUCGUCCUAAUCAGGCGUAAAGGGUAAGUAGGCUGCUUUGAAAGUUAUUAAUUAGAAAGCUCCAGUAGGCGGGUCUUGGCUUCGCCAAGCCAAUCCUCAAUCAAUUGAAUGAGGGGAGGGGAAUCUGCAACUGGUAAUUAAUAAUGAAUUAAAGCUAGAAUCAAACAGAGGAUAAGCCAAAUAAUGUUUAGAGUAGGGAUGAAAUCCGUAGAUACUAAAUGGAAUACUAAUGGUGAAAACUUUUAUCUAAUAAUGAUUGACGCUGAGGAACGAAGGUGAGAAUAGAAAAUAGGAUUAGAGACCCAGAUAUCUCUCACUGUCAACGAUGAAUGGUGGUUGUUAGUUUUAAAAUAAACUAGUAACGAUGUUAACGCGAUAACCAUUCCGCCUUGCGAGUACGGUUGCAAAACUGAAACCAAAAAAAUUAGUCGGUCUCGGAGCAAACGAAGUGAAGCAUGUUAUUUAAUACGAAACUACGCGUAAAAUCUUACCAGUUCUUGCAUAUACUCUUGCCUGCUUUUUUUGCUCAGCAACAAAGGGUAGGCAACUCUAUAGUAAAAAAAUAGAAGGGAGUUUACAGGUGUUGCAUGGCUGUCGUCAGUCCGUAUUUUAAGAAGUGAGGUUAACUCCACUAACGGACGCAAUCCCUGUUGUUAAUUUAUACUUAACAAUUUAUGAAUUUUAAAUAUUUUCAUUUGGGGCUAAGACAAGUCGUUAUGGCUCUAACGAACUGGGCUAUAGACGUGCCACAUAUAACUUUUACAAAGUGAAGCGAAACCUUAACUAAAUUAAUAAAAAAAGGAAGAGCUAAUCAUUAAAGAAAGUUAAUUAUAUUUAAUUUGAGCAGAUUGUUGCCUGAAAUUCGGCAACAUGAAGAAGGAAUUUCGAGUAAUCGUUGAUCACUAGCGCAACGGUGAAGAUAGCAUUCGGGAUGAACUAACUGUCUGUCGCUGGGGAGAAGCUCGGAUCGGGGGAAACUGCCGCUUAAUUAUAACUUACAACAAAUCUUAGUUCUUUAAUUAUAACUGCAGCCUUGGUUAUGAAAAAAACCUUUGGCUACUAUAAAAAGUUUAUAAUUAUUGGCUUUAGCGCUAAAUAUUUUGUUUUGUUUAGUACAAAUUUGUUAAGCUAAUUAGUUUCAGUUAACCCUUCUGAGUAACAUCUCAAAAGUCAUAGCAAGGUAGCCGUACUGGAAGGUGCUGCUGUAAAAUAUUUCAA